UUAUUCACUGAUCCCAUCAGGAAGUGUUCCUCGAGUCCUCUUAAAUAGCUUCAAUAGUCAAUAAGUACAUGAAUUACCGGAUUUACUAAUCGAGCUUUUCCUCUAUCGGGGACUAGGCAACUCGUAUUUCGGCGGGGCUAUAGUCGUAAAGCUACCAAGCUAAAUGACUCUGAAAUUUAUUUCUUCUUUAAGACUUGUAGAUUUUUAGUAGUCCUCAAUCUCCAAAAUUGAUUAAUAUCUUGUUUAAAAUCAAGCCUACGUUAUACUGGUGGUUGGAAAAGGUUAGGUACAUCUAUACCGUAGCACGACACCUGGUGAGGGAUGACGAUGAGCACUUUUGGAAUGAUCAUUUUUGCGAAGUACCUUUCACUAUUCCGUAUUACACUACUAUACGUAAUCCUCCUUUUCCAGAUAGUAGACGGGAUGGUUGCUAUUUCAUCAUAGGUGGGACUAACGAGAAGUACGCCUGAGAAGAAGGCUUCAUAAUAGAAUACUAUUUUCUUACAGAGGUUUUUUGGUACGUAAAAUGUGUGGAACAUCAGAAAUAUUCUAUAACAAAUUUCGAUUAUUCAAAAUAUUACUUUAAAACAACUACCACUUUUUCUCACAAGUAUGGAAACGUUGAUAGUAAAACCCAUAAAUCCAAAGAUUUUUUUUUUUACAUAAUAAUAAUCCUUUACUUCAUCUACAAGCAUAGACGAUGUGCCGAUAAACGGCAUUAGCAAAAAAAAUUUUUUGCAACAUGACCAAACUGCCGGUAUAAUAUAUCAUAAUUGCAUACACAGUGUGUAAGUAUGAAUACUUAGAUGAGAGAAAAAUCAAUGGCAAGAUUAAAAGAGAAUGGCAAAAGCUAUAUUUGGUCACCAAUUUAGAUUGUGUACCGCAGGUGUCUGUGUAAUAAACAUGAAAAAAAUCUGCAUACAAACAAACAUCAAUUGCUAGUUGAAGAGAAGGUCUUAUACUCUUUGCAACACUUCUUUAGUUUUUCUUGUGUAUUAAAUUUUUUACUUUUUUUAAAAAUAUUCAUUUAUAAUCUUACACACUAUAUUGACAAG